AACGGAGGGGCAAGUGUUAUUCUUCAUAAACUGGGCGUAAAGGGUUCGUAGGCGGCCUUGCCAUUUAAUUAAAUAAUUCUAAAUUAUUUAAAAAAAGAAAAGUUUAAAACGGUUUAUUUUAAAGUGUGGUAUUAUUUUUAUAUCCUAAGUAAUACAAACCUUACAAUCACUGCAGUUAUGAUUUUUGCUGAGUCUUAUAGAAGAUAGCGUACUUAUAAUUUAGAGGUGAAUUCUGAGAGAUUAUUAAGGACAUCAAAGGCGAAAGCAGCUAUCUAUGUG
rnacentral:rRNA from 1 species